GAUGAACGCUGGCGGCGUGCUUAACACAUGCAAGUCGAACGGGAAACCUUUUAUUGAAGCUUCGGCAGAUUUAGCUGGUUUCUAGUGGCGGACGGGUGAUUAACGCGUGGGUAACCUGCCUUAUUCAGGGGGAUAACAGUCAGAAAUGGCUGCUAAUACCGCAUCAGCGCACAGAGCUGCAUGGCUCAGUGUGAAAUACUCCGUUGGUAUAAGAUGGACCCGCGUUGGUUUAGCUGGUUGGUGGGGUAACGGCCCACCAAGGCGACGAUCCAUAGCCGGCCUGAGAGGGUGAACGGCAACAUUGGGACUGAGACACGGCCCAGACUCCUACGGGAGGCAGCAGUGGGGAAUAUUGCACAAUGGGGAAACCCUGAUGCAGCGACGCCGCGUGAAGGAAGAAGUAUCUCGGUAUGUAAACUUCUAUAAGCAGGGAAGAUAAUGACGGUACCUGACUAAGAAGCCCCGGCUAACUACGUG
rnacentral:rRNA from 1 species